CCAGUCGGCCGGGCGGCCGCUCUUCCGCGAGGGAGGGAGGAAAGUCCGGGCUCCAGGGAGAAACGGUGGCGGCUAACGGCCGCCGGGGGUGACCCCAGGGAAAGUGCCACAGAAAGCAAACCGCCGGGGCAUGCUCCGGUCAGGGUGAAAGGGUGCGGUAAGAGCGCACCGCGUUGCCGGCAACGGGAACGGCAGGGCAAACCCCACCGGGAGCAAAACCGAAUAGGGACGGCGCGCACCGGGCAACCGGUGCAGGGAUCUCCUCCCGGCCGUCCGGGUUGGUUGCACGAGGCACGGCGCGAGCCGGGCCCCAGAGGAAUGGCCGCCACGUCGGCGUUGAAAGACGCAGGCCAUACAGAACCCGGCUUACAGGCCGACUGGAUUC
rnacentral:RNase_P_RNA from 1 species